GCAGUCGUGGCCGAGUGGUUAAGGCGAUGGAAUAGAAAUCCAUUGGGGUCUCCCCGCGCAGGUUCGAAUCCUGUCGACUGCG
rnacentral:tRNA from 1 species